rnacentral:lncRNA from 1 species
CCCGAAAUUUUAUCCGAAUCCGAACCCGAACCCGAAUGAAACCGAUAUAUCUGAUGGAUAUGAAUAUGGAUUCGGAUAUGGAUAUCAAAAAUAGAAACCCGAAGGAUAUGGAUUCGGAUAUGGAUUUUGAUUGUACCCGAUCUGAACCCGACCCGAACCCGAAUUUAUUUUGUAUUAUAUAUAAUAUAUAUAUAAAAAUUUGAUGUUAUAUUUGAAUUUGUAUUUUAAAAAUUUAGAUUUAAUUUUGAAAUAUUGAAAAAAGAAAUAAUUGUUUCGGGUUCAAAUUUUCGGUUUCGGGUUCGGGUUCGGGUUUCGAAUUUUUGGUCGGGUUCGGGUUUGGAUAUGGAUUUUUAAAAUCCGUCGCUUUCGGGUUCGGAUUCGGGUUCGGGUCUCGGGUUCGAAGUCGGGUUCGGGUUCGAGUUUUUAAAAAUCUGCACCGAAUUC